rnacentral:ncRNA from 1 species
AAAUAAUGUUGUACGACUGUUUAAUUAAAACACAGCACUUUGCUAAAAGAUUAAUAAUCGAUGUAUUGAGUGUGAUGUCUGCCCGAUGCCGGCUGGUUAACGGAUUUAACUAAAUUUUUUCUAAAAAUUUGGUGUUGAAGGAACCCCCGGUUAAUGGCGGCCUUAACGUGAGGGUCCUAAGGUAGCGAAAUGCCUUGGCCGUUAAAUGCGGUCUUGCAUGAAUGAUGUAACGAUACAACAGCUGUCUCUAUGAUUGACUCAGUGAAAUUGGAAUAACUGUGCAGAUACAGUUUACCUCUAGUUAGACGAGAAGACCCUAUGCAGCUUUACUGUUACUAAUUAUAGGGUAUGAUGGAUGAAUUUUCAGAUUAUAAGGUACAUUGAUUAAUAAAAAUAGAAAAUCCUUUAUUUCGACAUCAUACUUCGGGUCCAGCGAAACAUAUGAUAAGUGGCAGUCUUAUUUCUCCGGACCAUUUGAGGGGGGUGGUUCUAAGGCUUAUCUAGUGGAUGGUGAUAGCCCCCCUAAGUAGCCACACUUAGAAUUUUCCAGGACGGAAAUUGCUUACCUCUGGUAAGUUG